rnacentral:rRNA from 1 species
CAGCAGCCGCGGGAAUACGGAGGGUGCAAGCGUUAAUCGGAAUUACUGGGCGUAAAGCGCACGCAGGCGGUUUGUUAAGUCAGAUGUGAAAUCCCCGAGCUUAACUUGGGAACUGCAUUUGAAACUGGCAAGCUAGAGUCUUGUAGAGGGGGGUAGAAUUCCAGGUGUAGCGGUGAAAUGCGUAGAGAUCUGGAGGAAUACCGGUGGCGAAGGCGGCCCCCUGGACAAAGACUGACGCUCAGGUGCGAAAGCGUGGGGAGCAAACAGGAUUAGAUACCCGUGUAGUCCCUGUCUCUUAUAC